AAUAUUGGGACAUAUAAAAAAAGACAACUCUGUUCUGCAGAGUAGCUGUUGACAUUAUAGUUGCGCAGGCACUUUAUUGACUCUAGAGAACCUCGGGCCAAUCGCACAUCCCUGUGGUGGCGAUUCUGCAUGCGGAUGUCAUUCAUAUCAACUUUCGAUGCCAGUUUCUGCGCCUACCAUGGUGACCACGGGUAACGGGGAAUCAGGGUUCCAUUCCUUACAGGGACCCUGAGAAACAGCUACCACUUGCAAGGAAGGUAGCAGGCGCGCAAAUGACCCACUCCCGACGCGGGACGGGAGUGA